rnacentral:lncRNA from 1 species
UAAUAAAAAGUUUUGUACGAAUAUAUGAGCAUCUUAUUUGAUAUAUUCUUUUAAUUUAUCUAAAAAGUAUAUAAUAUUCAUUGGAUAAGGCGUGAAAUCAAAUUUCUAGACAAAAAUAUCACAUUCGGUCAUUAAGUCAUUUUCAAAAUAAAAUACAUUAUUUUAUUAAUAAAAUAUAUAUUUCUAUCAAAUCAUAAAUGCAUAAAAAAAUUUUCUUUCCAAAUAAAUUAUUUUGGCAUUCAAAGAAGGCCUUAGAUAAUAUUUAGGGCUUGUUUGGUUCAUCCAUUUUGGGUAUGAAAUGGGAAUCGAUUUGAUCAAAUCCGGUUAAUUUUGUUUGGUUCAUAUAAAUCGGUUUGGGAUUUCUAUUCCGGACUGGAAUGGGAAUGGCCCAUUAGCCUUCAACUUGAUUCCGGUCUUUUAGUCCGGAUUGAGAUUUCAUUACGGAAGCCCACCAAGUUCUCGAAGCCCAUUUGACCAUCUCACCCUCUUUCUCUUCACCCCUUUCUCAUCGAAAAAAAAAAAAAACCUAUCCUCUCUCAAAACCCUAUCCCUAACCCACAUCAAUAAAAGUUUUUAAAAAUAAAUUUGAUAUUUUUUUUGAAAAACUUAUUAGAGAAUAGUAUUAUAUUUUUCAUAAAUUUUAAAUAAUAUAAAUUUAUGUUUGAGAGUAAAAUUAGUAUUAUACUAUCCUAUAAUUUUUUUAGUUUAUACGAACCAAAUAAUAAAAUGUGAAUAACUCAUUCCAAUUCCCAAUCUACAAAUAAAUCAAACGCCUUGGGGGAGUGAGCCAUUCCAAUUAUCAUUCUAAUUUAUUCCCAUUCCAUUAUCCAUUCCAAUUUCAUCCUUUAACCAAACAAGCUCUUAUAUUAAAGCCUUUAAUAAGGUCGGCCAAAAAUUACUUGUCAAGUCUUAUAUGUAAAAAAGUUCUAACAUUUAUUUGUAUACAUGCACACGUAAAAAUAUAUAUAUAUAUAUAGGGAAAACUUCAAAAACCCCCCCUGUGGUUUCAUGCAUUCUCACUUUAGUACCCUGUGGUUUAAAACGUAUCAAUUUGCCCCCCUGUGGUUUCGUUUUUAUCUUUUCAGAAGCUUUUUCGUUAAUAUUUCGUUAAAUUAUAUACAAAAAACUUCAGAUAACCAUCUAUGUUUAUCGAAUAUUCACUUUAGUAUCCUUUAAUUUUAAUUUUGUCACUGAUUUAAAAAAUAAUAAUAAUAAUAAAAUUGAUAACAAAAAGAGAAAAAUGAAACCACGGGGGGGCAAAUUGAUACGUUUUAAACCACAGGGUAUGAAAGUGAGAAUGCAUGAAACCACAGGGGGGUUUUUGAAGUUUUCCCAUAUAAUAAUAUAUAAUAUAUAUAUAUAUAUAUAUAUAUGUAUAUUAUAUAUAUAUAUCUAACUGUAUAUAUAUAUAUAUAUAUAUAUAUAUAACGAUCUGUAAUAAAUUUUAUUUGCAUCCAACAAUAAAAUGAGGGUAAAAAUGUUUAUAAACGACAUGGACUAUGAAUUAUUUUGGUUCGACUAUCCAAUUUUUAAUAAAAUUUCAAUAUUGUUACUUAACUUUUUAUUUAUUUGAUUUGAGCUAGUUGAUAAUAUUUUUAUUUUAACAUUUGCAUACUUUACCGACCGUUCCUAGAGCAAGUGGCAAAGGGCUUGGUGAUUGGUACCCAAGACCCAAGUUCGAAUUCUAGUUGAUUCACAUUUUCAGCUAAGUUUAUUUCUAAAUGAAAUAAACGAAGCGGGUAGCGUGCUACCUAUCUCUGUAAAAAAAAAAAAAACAUGCCUUAUCUUUAUUUGCUUGAUUAACACAUUUUAUAUAAUUUAUGUGACUAUAAUUUUAUUAAAAUAAGUUAUAAACCAAAAUUUUUUAUUGGAAGAACCAUUUAAAUCAAACAAAUUAAUAAGUUAUUAUCAAGAUUUAAAUUUUAAAAAUUUGAAUACUCUGGUCAAAAUUUACAUGUUUACUUCGAAAUAAAAUAUAUUCAUGAACAUUGGUCAUAUCACAUAUACGUGUCCUCGGUGAUUAAGUCAUUUUGAGUUUCGAACAACUCAAUUGAUCGAGUUAACCUAGUUUGACCGAGUUUGACUUCAAAUCUAGGGCACGCCGAUUUUACGUCGACUCAUAAUGGUCAAAUCGAAAGUGGGAGAGAAACCGCCUAGUUAGCCUAAAAUUGAUAUUAAAAAAUAAUAAUAAUAAAUUCUCAGCUCGUGAGAAAUCACCUUUUAAAGCCAAUAUAUUUGAACACAAAUCCAUAUUUAUUAAAGUUUCAAUCCUAAAAAAAAAAUCUAUAUAUCUAGCUAGCAAACUCUUUAAUUAAUUACAUACUCUUAUCUCAUACGUAUUUUACAGAGUCCGCGUACUUCUCGAACAUAUAUAUAUAUAUAUAUAUAUAUAUAUAUAGAGAGAGAGAGAGAGAGAGUUCGGCUACUGUACUCUUAUGUGUACGAUCGCGUUCGUACUCAUAAGUUAUUUUCGAUGAUAGAGCUUGCGAAUCGACAAUCCAUACCGUUAAAUAUUAUCUAGAGUAUUUAAAACUUCUAGAAAUCAAAUUUUAUAAUUUUUCAAUAUCAUUAACCUUGCGAUCAAAAACUCACAAAAUUGACAAUUUUUAACGGCCGGUAUGAAAUAUUUGCUAGUUUAACGGUGUAAAAAAAUUAGAAUAGGUUGAAUUUUUGAUAGAAAAUUUUAUUCACUAUCUAAAUAAAUAUUAAUAACUCCGAUCUUCAAUUGAAAGAUCCGAUCAUCCAUUUUUCGGAUGUCGUUCGAUUUUAACCGUUCAUUUUAUACCCACUUAAUAGACUUUAUAAUAAUUUCGAAAAAUUACGAAAUUUAUUUUCUAGAAGUUUCGAAUAUUCUAGAUUAUGUUUAACGGUGUCGAUCGUCGAUUCAAAAAUCCCAACAUCAAAAACAACUUAUGAGUACGAAGGGCUCUAUACUCAUAAGAGUAAAAUAGCUCUAGUAUAUAUAUAUAUAUAUAUAUAUAUAGAGGAGUAGAAAAUAAGCAUACUUGGCCAUCUCAAUCACUGUGAUAAAGGAAAAGACGCAGAAAAAAAGCUUUAGGUCCCGUUUGGUUGGGGGGAUAAGCGGGGAUAACGAAAGUUAUCUCCGCUAUUCCGCCAAACGGGGUAAAAUUUGGCCGGAAUAUUUUAUCCCGGUCAAACCUUGCUAUUCUCGGUUAUCCCGGAAUAGCAAGGGAUUUGCUAUUCCACCAUUUUGGUGGAAUAGUGCUAUUCCAAUGCUUAAUUUCAAACUUAAUUAAACUUAUAAAUUGAAUUAAAACUAAAUUAUAUAAAUAUAAUAUGUUAUAUAUUAUAAUACAAUAUUUUUAUUAUAAAAUUAUUAAUUGUACUAUAUUAAUACAUAUUAUUUAUAUUUAAAUAUUAUAAUAAAAUUUAUAAUAAAUUAUAUUUAAAUAUUAUAAUAAAUUCUUUUUAUUAAAUUUAAGUUUAAGUAGAAUUUUAAAAAAAUUUAUAAAUUUAUUAUAAUAAAUUAUUUUUAUUAAUUGUUCCCACCCCUAUUCUUAUUUUAAAAUUUUAAAAAUUAAAAAUUUAAAUUGUUAAAAUUUAUAAUUUAUAAUCUCAAAAUUAAAGUUUAUAAUUUUAAAUUUUAAAUUUUAAAAUUAAAUUUUGAUAUUUUAAUUUUGAAAUUUAAAAUUUUAUAUUUUAUAUUUUUCAAAUUUAAAUUUGAUCUUAAAUUUAAAGUUUGAAAUUUAAAAUUUAAAAUUUUGAAUUUAAAAUUUGAGAUUUUAAAUUUCAAAAUUUGAAAUUUCAAAGUUAAAAUUUUAAAUUUAAAAAUAUAUAUUUAAAAAUUUAAAAAUUUAAAUUCAAAUAUAAUAAGAGGAUAAUAUAAUUAUUUUUUAUUUAUAAAACCCACUAUCUUUCUUAUUCCAUCUUACCUAACCAAACGCUAUUUUUUUUAUUCGCAGGAAUAAUCCAAUUUUCAUCCAAACGCAAAAUUGAUCUAAUCCCCGCUUAUACCUCAAUUUAUACCUAUCUCUGGAAUAGUCAUUUUUUUCUUAUCCUCGAACCAAACGAUACCUUAGAGUUCAUUCCAGCACCUUGUUUGUGCUUCCCUAUCGCGGGACAUAUACCAGGUUUCUGAAGAUCUCUUUAAUAUAUAGAUAUGCGCCCCUCUUCGUGGUCGAUCCUUCCUGGGUACUGGGUUCGCUGGCGAUCCGAUGUCAUCAAGCGCGCGGAAAUCGGUUGUCCGCAGCUUCUCUAAUUGGCUCGUCCGUUGAUGCACGCCUCUCGUGAUCUUGGUUGAUCCUUCCUCGGUUUGCCUGCGAUCCAACAACAUCGACGCUAGGACGAAGUCUAUGAUCUUGGUUCAUCCGUGAUGUGACAUCUGCAUCUUGACCUCCGUUCUUUCCGCUGUCGUCUUUCUUGUUGUGAGCUUUCUUUAUCGGAGAGGAGGGCUUGUAGUCUGCUGCUGUGCUGCUGAUGGAAUAAUCCGGAUUAACUUUCGCCUCUUGUUCGACCUUUUCACUCUUUUUGUCAGCUUCUUUUCUUGCAGCAUCAAACUUUCCAGGUUCCUGAGGUGAGGACUUAUUAUCACCUGCUGCGUCUGGUGUUUUCACUCCAUUCGUCGCCGAGCUCGGAAGUCCGUUCAUUGCAGGGCUCAGAAGUUGUCCCGAAAGUGGCGGCAUUUGCACGGUGUGGCUGCUUGGUGGCUUGGCCACGGGUUGGCUGGCAGGAGUUCCAUCGUCAGCGUCAUCACCCCCACAACAGAGGAACUUCAGACACAUACUAUAUAGUGUAAUCUCUCUCUCUCUCUCUCUCUCUACCCAAGUUAAGGGAGUUUUGAGGUUA